AUGCUAGCGAGAUGGGCAGCAUAUCUGGAGAGAUUUAACUAUCUCAUCGUGCAUAAAUCUGGAAUAACUAACAGAGUGGCCGAUGCUUUGAGUCGUCGUGCAUGCCUCUUGACUUCUUUUGAAGCUGAACUUCCGGGCAUGGAUCAAAUAAAGGAGUUGUAUGAGGGUGACGAAGACUUUCGCCAUGUUUGGGUAAAGCACGCAAGGGGCCAACCAUUAGGUGAUGACUAUUUGAUGCAAGAUGGAUAUCUCUUCAAAAAUGAUCAUUUGUGCAUUCCAAGAAGUUCUCUACGUGACAAGCUGGUUAGAGAGCUCCAUUCAAGUGAUCUUAGUGGUCAUGUUGGACGGGACAAGACUAUCGCUAACCUGGAAGCUCCCUACUUUUGGCCACAACUAAAGAGAGAUGCUGGAAAGUUCAUUCAACGGUGCCCCGUAUGUCAGACCUGCAAAGGCCAAGUCCAGAACACAGGGUUAUACAUGCCUUUGCCUGUUCCUGUUGCUCCAUGGGAGGACAUUUCUAUGGACUUCGUCUUGGGCUUGCCAAGAACAUGA
rnacentral:rRNA from 1 species